rnacentral:rRNA from 1 species
GACGAACGCUGGCGGCGUGCUUAACACAUGCAAGUCGAACGGGCCCGCUCUCUUUUUUGGGGGUGGGUUGAGUGGCGAACGGGUGAGUAUCACGUGAGUAACCUGCCCCCUGCUCCUGGAUAACUGCUUGAAAGGGCGGCUAAUACGGGGUGUGCCGGCUGGUCCGCAUGGGCCUGGUCGGGAUAGUUUCAUCUUCGGGUGUUUCGGUGGGGGAUGGGCUCGCGGCCUAUCAGCUUGUUGGUGGGGUGAUGGCCCACCAAGGCGGUGACGGGUAGCCGGCCUGAGAGGGUGGGCGGCCACACUGGGACUGAGACACGGCCCAGACUCCUGCGGGGGGCAGCAGUGGGGGGUAUUGCACAAUGGGCGGAAGCCUGAUGCAGCGACGUCGCGUGAGGGAUGGAGGCCGUCGGGUGGUGAACCUCUUUCUCCGGUGGUGAAGGCCCUGUCCGUUGCGGCGGGGUUGACGGUAGCCGGGGAUGAAGCGCCGGCUAACUACGUG